GAAGAACCUUANCAGGUCUUGACAUCCUCUGACAACCCUAGAGAUAGGGCUUCCCCUUCGGGGGCAGAGUGACAGGUGGUGCAUGGUUGUCGUCAGCUCGUGUCGUGAGAUGUUGGGUUAAGUCCCGCAACGAGCGCAACCCUUGAUCUUAGUUGCCAGCAUUCAGUUGGGCACUCUAAGGUGACUGCCGGUGACAAACCGGAGGAAGGUGGGGAUGACGUCAAAUCAUCAUGCCCCUUAUGACCUGGGCUACACACGUGCUACAAUGGGCAGAACAAAGGGCAGCGAAGCCGCGAGGCUAAGCCAAUCCCACAAAUCUGUUCUCAGUUCGGAUCGCAGUCUGCAACUCGACUGCGUGAAGCUGGAAUCGCUAGUAAUCGCGGAUCAGCAUGCCGCGGUGAAUACGUUCCCGGGCCUUGUACACACCGCCCGUCACACCACGAGAGUUUGUAACACCCGAAGUCGGUGAGGUAACCUUUUGGAGCCAGCCGCCGAAGGUGGGACAGAUGAUUGGGGUGAAGUCGUAACAAG
rnacentral:rRNA from 1 species